AAAGAUUUAAGCCAUGCAUGUCUAAGUAUAAGCAACUAUACUGUGAAACUGCGAAUGGCUCAUAAAUCAGUCAUAAUUUAUUUGAUAGUACCUUUACCUGGAUAACCGUAGUAAUUCUAGAGCUAAUACAUGCUAAAACCUCGACUUCGGAAGGGGUGUAUUAUUAGAUAAAAAACCAAUGCCCUUCGGGGCUCCUUGGUGAUUCAUAAUAACUUAACGAAUCGCAUGGCCUUGCGCCGGCGAUGGUUCAUUCAAAUUUCUGCCCUAUCAACUUUCGAUGGUAGAAUAGUGGUCUACCAUGGUUUCAACGGGUAACGGGGAAUUAGGGUUCUAUUCCGGAGAGGGAGCCUGAGAAACGGCUACCACAUCCAAGGAAGGCAGCAGGCGCGCAAAUUACCCAAUCCCGAUACGGGGAGGUAGUGACAAUAAAUACUGAUACAGGGCUCUUUCGGGUCUUGUAAUUGGAAUGAGUACAAUCUAAAUCCCUUAACGAGGAACAAUUGGAGGGCAAGUCUGGUGCCAGCAGCCGCGGUAAUUCCAGCUCCAAUAGCGUAUAUUAAAGUUGUUGCAGUUAAAAAGCUCGUAGUUGAACCUUGGGCCUGACCGAUCUGUCCUCCUAAUCGAGCGCACGGAUUCGGUUGGGCCUUUCCUUCUGGGGAGCCCUAUGCCCUUCACUGGGCGUAGUGGGGAACCAGGACUUUUACCUUGAAAAAAUUAGAGUGUUCAAAGCAGGCAUUUGCUCGAAUACAUUAGCAUGGAAUAAUAGAAUAGGACAUCGGUUCUAUUUUGUUGGUUUCUAGGACCGCUGUAAUGAUUAAUAGGGAUAGUCGGGGGCGUCAGUAUUCAAUUGUCAGAGGUGAAAUUCUUGGAUUUAUUGAAGACUAACUAUUGCGAAAGCAUUCGCCAAGGAUGUUUUCAUUAAUCAGUGAACGAAAGUUAGGGGAUCGAAGACGAUCAGAUACCGUCGUAGUCUUAACCAUAAACUAUGCCGACUAGGGAUCGGACGGUGGUUUUUUAUGCCUCGUUCGGCACCUUACGAGAAUCAAAGUUUUGGGCUCUGGGGGGAGUAUGGUCGCAAGGGCUGAGACUUAAAGGAA
rnacentral:rRNA from 1 species